UACGUAGGGGGCAAGCGUUGUCCGGAUUUAUUGGGCGUAAAGAGCGUGUAGGCGGCCUUACAGGUCAGCUGUGAAAACUCGAGGCUCAACCUCGAGACGUCGGUUGAAACCGUAUGGCUAGAGUCCGGAAGAGGAGAGUGGAAUUCCCGGUGUAGCGGUGAAAUGCGCAGAUAUCGGGAAGAACACCCGUGGCGAAGGCAAUCCCCUGGACCUGUACUGACGCUCAUGCACGAAAGCGUGGGGAGCAAACAGG
rnacentral:rRNA from 1 species